UGUUUAUAGAUAUUAUUAUAAAUAAAGCCUGCUCAAUGAUUAAUUUCAAUAGCCGCAAUUUUGUGCUAAGGUAGCAUAAUCAUUUGUCUUAUAAUUAAAGACUAGAAUGAAUGGUUUAACGUUUAAUUAACUUUAUUAUCAAUAUUAUAUAAAUUUAUUUUAAUUGUUAAAAAACAAUUAUUCAUAAAAAAGACGAUAAGACCCUAUCAAACUUUACUUUAGUUUAGCUGGGGCAGCUAAUUAACUAUAUCUUAAUUAUUAUUUAAUAAAAAAUGACCCAAUAUUAUUGAUUUCAUGACCAAGUUACUGUAGGGAUAACAGCAUAAUUAAAUUCUAAAGUUCUUAUUUAAAAUUUAGAUUAUGACCUCGAUGUUGAAUUAAUAUUAUAAUUUAAUGCAACAAUUAAUAUUCUAUAGGUCUGUUCGACCUUUAAAUUAUUACA
rnacentral:rRNA from 1 species